rnacentral:rRNA from 1 species
AGCAGUAGCCGCGGGAAUACGGAGGGCGCGAGCGUUACCCGGAUUUACUGGGCGUAAAGGGCGUGUAGGCGGCCUGGGGCGUCCCAUGUGAAAGGCCACGGCUCAACCGUGGAGGAGCGUGGGAUACGCUCAGGCUAGAGGGUGGGAGAGGGUGGUGGAAUUCCCGGAGUAGCGGUGAAAUGCGCAGAUACCGGGAGGAACGCCGAUGGCGAAGGCAGCCACCUGGUCCACUUCUGACGCUGAGGCGCGAAAACGUGGGGAGCAAACCGGAUUAGAUACCCGUGUAGUCCCUGUCUCUUAUAC